AUUAAACUAAGAUUUGAAUUGAAGUAUAUUUCCAAUGCAAAUGUUUGAGAAAUAGUAAAUAAUAAAUACGGAAAAUGGCUUAUUAUAGGCGUUGGAGAUAUGCAGCGUUCCUAGGCGGAUUCGUCGGUUUGCUAGGACUGACUUUAUACCCUAUAGCUAUAAGCCCAAUGAUAGACCCAUCGGAAUACAAAAAGAUUCAAAAGGAAACCAGAAAGAAUAUAAGGCAAGAGGAUAUCCAACCAGGAAAUAUGAAAGUCUGGUCAGAUCCAUUCGACCGUAAAAAGCCUCAAAAUGAAUAAAUUAUGUAGGAUUAUUUAAUAGUUAAUGUAUUGAAAUAAAUUUAAUUAGUUGUUUAUACAAUAUCACAUCCAAA